CGUGCAGCCUGCUGCCGGUUCUGCUGCCGCUGCUCUCUCCACAGGUGUUCGUGGUUGACUGGUGGGCGGAGCGCACACACCUGCAGACAGUUCAGCAGCACCGGGCCGCACUAUAAGAACUGUGCUCAAACAGAGGGAGGAUGCCAGAGUGUUACCGUUGUGGUUACCUCUUGUGCUCCGAUGUCUCCUCUCAUGCUCCUGUGUUUCCCUUCGAGGUGAAAGCCUCAAGUGUCCCUCUGGUUCUUUCCGAGUUGGUGCCCCUCAACCUGGAUCCAAGGCUUCCUCUGACGUUCACCUGGUUCCUCCCGCUGCUCUGGAUCCCCGGAUUCCCCGGUGCUGCUUGGAUCCCCCUCUGCCUCCGCUCACUGGUCUCCCGGACACCUGUCAACUCCACCCGCAGGCAAGGGCUGAGUCCACACCGCUUCCUCACCGGUUCGGUUUCCGCGCUUGGUGACUGAUCCGGUCUACUGGCUUUGGUUCCCCGUUGUGCCCCGAUCUGCAGAGGCAGAUCUUCCUCGUGGCUCCCAAUCUAAAUAAACCUUUUGUGAUCUGAACUGUUUUCCCCGAGUGUUUUCUGCAUGUGGGCCAAACACAUUAGGGCGAACAUGACACCUUUAUAUGGAAAAAAACAGUCCCCCAGAUAAGAAGAGAGUUUCUAGAGAGACAGAGAGAGGAGGGGGGCCUAGCUCUACCAAAUUAUAUGCAUUAUUACUGGGCAGCUAAUCUACAUAAGUUGCUAUUUUGGGUCUCGCAGUUAGAAGAUGAGAAAACCCCAAUAUGGGUACAUAUAGAAAGAUAUGCACCCAGCCCAAUAUCCCUGUGUUCCCUGAUUUGUGCCCCUAAGCAAGCACCUAUACACAAAUAACCCUGUUGUGCGAAACUCUGUCAAAAUCUGGGUCCAAUUCAUACCUCAUUUUAAAAACAGAAAUGCCUCCUGUCUGCUCCCGUUUAUGGCAAUCACCUGUUCUCUCCAGCUCUGGGGGGAACAGCGUUUAAGGAAUGGCAUAGAGCUGGGGUGGAAUCUGUUAAAAAUCUGGUUAAAGAUGGUGUACUUAUGUCUGCUGCUCAGCUGGAAAAGGAAUAUGGAAUCCCCUUAAAAACAAAUUACUUCAGAUACUUUCAGAUUCGAGAUUUUGUGAAAAAGACAUUCUCAUCUCUUGAAUCACCCAGAGUGGGUGGAUAGAUGGGCUAUUGGAUAU